rnacentral:rRNA from 1 species
GAUUUGAAGGUUGUUCCCUUGAGGAGUGGCUUUCGGAGCUAACGCGUUAAAUCGACCGCCUGGGGAGUACGGCCGCAAGGUUAAAACUCAAAUGAAUUGACGGGGGCCCGCACAAGCGGUGGAGCAUGUGGUUUAAUUCGAUGCAACGCGAAGAACCUUACCUACUCUUGACAUCCAGAGAAUUUAGCAGAGAUGCUUUAGUGCCUUCGGGAACUCUGAGACAGGUGCUGCAUGGCUGUCGUCAGCUCGUGUUGUGAAAUGUCGGGUUAAGUCCCGCAACGAGCGCAACCCUUAUCCUUUGUUGCCAGCGAUUCGGUCGGGAACUCAAAGGAGACUGCCGGUGAUAAACCGGAGGAAGGUGGGGAUGACGUCAAGUCAUCAUGGCCCUUACGAGUAGGGCUACACACGUGCUACAAUGGCGUAUACAAAGAGAAGCGACCUCGCGAGAGCAAGCGGAACUCAUAAAGUACGUCGUAGUCCGGAUUGGAAUCUGCAACUCGACUCCAUGAAGUCGGAAUCGCUAGUAAUCGUAGAUCAGAAUGCUACGGUGAAUACGUUCCCGGGCCUUGUACACACCGCCCGUCACACCAUGGGAGUGGGUUGCAAAAGAAGUAGGUAGCUUAACCUUCGGGAGGGCGCUUACCACUUUGUGAUUCAUGACUGGGGUGAAGUCGUA